rnacentral:rRNA from 1 species
CGGAGGAAAAGAAACUAACAAGGAUUCCCCUAGUAAUGGCGAAUGAAGAGGGAAAAGCCCAAUUUUGUAAUCUGGCCCUUUUAGGGUCCGAGUUGUAAAGUGAAGAGGUGCUUUCUUGUGCUGGACCAUAUAUAAGUCUGUUGGAAUACAGCAUCAUUGAAGGUGAGAAUCCUGUCUAAUGAUAUGGACUACCAGUGCUUUUAUGAAGCAGUCUCUAAGAGUCGAGUUGUUUGGGAAUGCAGCUCAAAAUGGGUGGUAAAUUCCAUCUAAGGCUAAAUAUUGGUGAGAGACCGAUAGCAAACAAGUACCGUGAGGGAAAGAUGAAAAGAACUUUGGAAAGAGAGUUAACAGUAUGUGAAAUUGUUAAAAGGGAAACACUUGAAGUUAGACUUGAUAAUGUCAGUUCAGCCUUUUAUUAGGGUGUAUUCUGUGCAUUAUCAGACCAACAUCAAUUUUGGGUGUUAGAUAAGGGUUUGGGAAAUGUAGCAACUUUGGUUGUGUUAUAGUCCUGAAUUUCAUAUAUAAUGCCCAAGAUUGAGGAGAUUCACAGUAAGCUGGAAAGAGAUUUUCAGUAGGUCACCAAAAUGGUUGACACUCUUACUAUG